AAUAUGGGACAAUGUGCGAAAGCCUGAUCCAGCCAGGCAUCGAGUGUAAAGUAGGACAUAGGAAUGUAAAGCACGUUAAGUUGGGAGGAAGGGCUUUAGGUUAAUACCCUGAAGUUUUUACUUUACCAACAGAAUAAGCACCAGCUAACUUCGUGCCAGCAGCCGCGGUAAUACGAAUGGUGCAAGCGUUAAUCGGAAUUACUGGGCGUAAAGCGCGCGUAGGUGGUUUGUUAAGUUGGAAGUGAAAGCCCCGGGCUCAACCUGGGAACUGCUUUCAAAACUGGCAAGCUAGAGUAUGGCAGAGGGUGGUGGAAUCUCCUGUGUAGCGGUGCAAUGCGUAGAUAUAGGAAGGAACACCAGUGGCGAAGGCGACUACCUGGACUGAUACUGACACUGAGGUGCGAAAGCGUGGGGAGCAAAC
rnacentral:rRNA from 1 species